rnacentral:rRNA from 1 species
UACGGAGGGUGCAAGCGUUAAUCGGAAUUACUGGGCGUAAAGCGCAUGCAGGCGGUUGGAUAAGUUAGAUGUGAAAGCCCCCGGCUCAACCUGUGAAUUGCAAUUAAAACUGUCCAGCUAGAGUCUUUUAGAAGGGGGUAGAAUUCCAGGUGGAGCGGUGAAAUGCUUAGAUAUCUGGAGGAAUACCGAUGGCGAAGGCGGCCCCCUGGACCAAGACUGACGCUCAGGUGCGAAAGCGUGGGGAGCAAACAGG